UCCUACGGGAGGCAGCAGUAGGGAAUCUUCCGCAAUGGACGAAAGUCUGACGGAGCAACGCCGCGUGAGUGAUGAAGGUUUUCGGAUCGUAAAACUCUGUUGUUAGGGAAGAACAAGUUGGGUAGUAACUGACCCAACCUUGACGGUAUUUAACCAGAAAGCCACGGCUAACUACGUGCCAGCAGCCGCGGUAAUACGUAGGUGGCAAGCGUUAUCCGGAAUUAUUGGGCGUAAAGCGCGCGCAGGUGGUUUCUUAAGUCUGAUGUGAAAGCCCACGGCUCAACCGUGGAGGGUCAUUGGAAACUGGGAGACUUGAGUGCAGAAGAGGAAAGUGGAAUUCCAUGUGUAGCGGUGAAAUGCGUAGAGAUAUGGAGGAACACCAGUGGCGAAGGCGACUUUCUGGUCUGUAACUGACACUGAGGCGCGAAAGCGUGGGGAGCAAACAGGAUUAGAUACCCUGGUAGUCCACGCCGUAAACGAUGAGUGCUAAGUGUUAGAGGGUUUCCGCCCUUUAGUGCUGAAGUUAACGCAUUAAGCACUCCGCCUGGGGAGUACGGCCGCAAGGCUGAAACUCAAAGG
rnacentral:rRNA from 1 species